rnacentral:misc_RNA from 1 species
GAUGAAGAACGUAGCGAAAUGCGAUAAGUAAUGCGAAUUGCAGAAUUCAGUGAGUCAUCGAAUCUUUGAACGCACAUUGCGCCCCUUGGUAUUCCAUGGGGCAUGCCUGUUCGAGCGUCAUUUGUACCUUCAAGCCUUGCUUGGUGUUGGGUGUUUGUCUCGCCUCUGCGCGCAGACUCGCCUCAAAACAAUUGGCAGCCGGCGUAUUGAUUUCGGAGCGCAGUACAUCUCGCGCUUUGCACUCAGAACGACGACGUCCAAAAGUACAUUUUUACACUCUUGACCUCGGAUCAGGUAGGGAUACCCGCUGAACUUAAGCAUAUCAAUAAGCGGAGGA